rnacentral:rRNA from 2 species
GGUCUGUAGCAAUACAGAUGCUGGCGACCGGCAAACGGGUGCGGAACACGUACACAACCUUCCUUUAAGUGGGGAAUAGCCCGGGGAAACCCGGAUUAAUACCCCGUAACAUAUAGAAGUGGCAUCGCUUUUAUAUUAUAGCAGCAAUGCGCUUGAAGAUGGGUGUGCGGCUGAUUAGAUAGUUGGCGGGGUAACGGCCCACCAAGUCGACGAUCAGUAACUGGUGUGAGAGCACGACCAGUCACACGGGCACUGAGACACGGGCCCGACUCCUACGGGAGGCAGCAGUAAGGAAUAUUGGUCAAUGGACGCAAGUCUGAACCAGCCAUGCCGCGUGGAGGAUGAAGGUCCUCUGGAUUGUAAACUUCUUUUAUUUGGGAAGAAAUCUAUCUUUUCUUGGAUAGUUGACGGUACCAGAUGAAUAAGCACCGGCUAACUCCGUGCCAGCAGCCGCGGUAAUACGGAGGGUGCAAGCGUUAUCCGGAUUCACUGGGUUUAAAGGGUGCGUAGGUGGGCAGGUAAGUCAGUGGUGAAAUCUCCGGGCUUAACCCGGAAACUGCCAUUGAUACUAUCUGUCUUGAAUACCCUGGAGGUGAGCGGAAUAUGUCAUGUAGCGGUGAAAUGCUUAGAUAUGACAUAGAACACCCAUUGCGAAGGCAGCUCACUACGGGAAUAUUGACACUGAGGCACGAAAGCGUGGGGAUCAAACAGGAUUAGAUACCCUGGUAGUCCACGCCCUAAACUAUGGAUACUCGACAUCAGCGAUAAACUGUUGGUGUCUGAGCGAAAGCAUUAAGUAUCCCACCUGGGAAGUACGAUCGCAAGAUUGAAACUC